GCUACUUGCACAAGCACUUCCUGAUUCGCCGUAAUACAGCUCAUCAGCUUCCGGUUCCAAGAUGGCAACGUUAUACACCCGGUGUUUACAGGAGCUGCCGACAUUAAAUAUCACAGAUGUGCAUCGUUUAUGUCGGGAAAAAAACUCCGACAAGCAAAUUGGAGAAGGGGUUUAGGCUGUAUGGUUCGAACUACAUUCACAGCUACGAAGUGCCCAAUAAAGACAAGCUGACAGUGCAGGUCAGCGUGAGAGCCUUGUGCUACAGGUCGAUGGGGAAGAGCGAGGCACCACCGUUUGAGUCUAGGCAGGAAGCUGUGUUCAUCCCUGUUCAGUGGUGUUUGUUCGGUUAAGCAGUAGCUAAGUGUAGUCCUCAAGGGCCACCAACUUGAAUGUUUUUCAUGUCUCCCUGUUUUUCACACACAAUUUAAUAUAGUCAAGGUAAUGAGUAAUAUAGUCAAGGCUACAACUUUUCAAUAAACAAGAUAUUUAUUGUCGUUUGCACAGCAGAAGUACAUGUACAUUGGAAUAAUUGUGAUUCUUGGAGUCCGCUUUAAAAAAAAAACACAUCUUUAUUUUAAGAGGAAGAGAAUAUAACAGUAAGCAUUCAGGGUGGUAGGCUUUUUCUAGCACAGUUGAAGUACUUACCUUCAUAAGAAACAAGUUGUUUUUUACACCCAUGAUGCUGAGGUUAUAUUUCUAAUGAUUUACCUUUUUCUCUUAGAUCAAGCUUUGUGAUUCAUCAGCCAAGGGAUGAAAAAAGAAAGAGUUAAUCUAUGGGCUGGAGCAGCUGUCUCUGAGAGGAAAAGAAAAAAAGUAUAGCUCAAAAACAACAAAUACAAAUGCAAUGGCAUUAUGUAUAAUUACAUCUGUAACUACUUAUAAAGUACUGUUGAUGCACGUGCAGGUGCGACCACUUCUUUUUUCUGGGCAGCUGAUUUGGCUCUGGAAACACGGACCAUCUUGUAGAGAAGGCUCAAUCAAAGACCAAAAAGCUCUCAGAUGGUUGUAGCUGGCAAAUCUAUUCACAAAAGACACCGCAUAAAAAUGUUCAAUUAGAAGUGUACAUCAAAAGUAUACAUUGUUACCAAAAUAAUGUCAACAGUAACUACUAAGAUUAAGAUUUUAUCGUAUAUAUAAUAUAUAUAUAUAUAUUUAUAUUAUGUAGCAGGGUGACCUGUAUUUCUCCCAUCCACUUGUGCCACUAUGCAACGGAUGGCGUCGUAACUAAUCCCUUGCACUCAGCUGACAGGUUUGUUUAGUUUCCUCUUUGGGUGCAGUUCAAUAACUGCACCAACUUCCUGUAAGACAACCUGAUGUGUGUGGAUAUCCAAUGCCCUAAUGUGUUCUCUGUGCUCUCUUUUUAGAGUAGUGUUCUUGUCCGGGCCGUAUCUUUGGGAGGCGCGGUUUGGUGGUUUGCCGUGUACUUGCAUGUAGAUAAGUAGGGUGUUACCUGCUCAAUUCAUACAUUUUUACAAUUGUUUAUUAAUAGUAUUUUGUUCUAGGACCAGCCUUGGUGGAGUUGGAGACGGUCACAUUCUGGCGCUGGCGCUUCAGUGCUCCUAUUUUCAUCUCAUAGAAUAAUAACAUGACUUUUUUCAACCAUUUAAAAAUAAACUUUUGUAGACUUGAA